rnacentral:rRNA from 1 species
UACCAGCACCCCGAGUGGUCGGGACGUUUAUUGGGCCUAAAGCAUCCGUAGCCGGUUCUACAAGUCUUCCGUUAAAUCCACCUGCUCAACAGAUGGGCUGCGGAAGGUACUAUGGAGCUAGGAGGCGGGAGAGGCAAGCGGUACUCGAUGGGUAGGGGUAAAAUCCGUUGAUCCAUUGAAGACCACCAGUGGCGAAGGCGGCUUGCCAGAACGCGCUCGACGGUGAGGGAUGAAAGCUGGGGGAGCAAACCGG